GGAGGUUGGCGCCUGGACGAGUUCCUCGCCAACCCGGUCAGAUCCGGAAGGAAGCAGCCGUAACGAGUUUCGCUCGGGUCGGGCGUUCAGCCUCCCAC
rnacentral:SRP_RNA from 1 species